CCUGCCUCAGCCUCCCUAGUGCUAGGAGUACAGAUGCACUGCAGUGCCAGGAGGCUGCCCAGUGACAGACAGACGGACGGACGGGUGUGGGCAGGGGUCACGUUCCUGCAGGAGCUGCCCUCCUCCCCAACGCAUGUAGGCCCUCCGGGCCUGGGCGGCUUCCAGCAGCUCGUCAGAGGCCUCAUCUAUCAUCUCAGGCCUGGAGCGGGGCCUGGAGGACGUCAGCCCUGCAGGGGACACGGAGCGUGGAGCCCCCGGGUCCUGGAGCUCAGGGGCUCCCC